rnacentral:rRNA from 1 species
GGUUAAGCGACUAAGCGUACACGGUGGAUGCCUAGGCAGUCAGAGGCGAUGAAGGGCGUGCUAAUCUGCGAAAAGCGUCGGUAAGCUGAUAUGAAGCGUUAUAACCGACGAUACCCGAAUGGGGAAACCCAGUGCAAUACGUUGCACUAUCGUUAGAUGAAUACAUAGUCUAACGAGGCGAACCGGGGGAACUGAAACAUCUAAGUACCCCGAGGAAAAGAAAUCAACCGAGAUUCCCCCAGUAGCGGCGAGCGAACGGGGAGGAGCCCAGAGUCUGAAUCAGUUUGUGUGUUAGUGGAAGCGUCUGGAAAGUCGCACGGUACAGGGUGAUAGUCCCGUACACCAAAAUGCACAGGCUGUGAACUCGAUGAGUAGGGCGGGACACGUGACAUCCUGUCUGAAUAUGGGGGGACCAUCCUCCAAGGCUAAAUACUCCUGACUGACCGAUAGUGAACCAGUACCGUGAGGGAAAGGCGAAAAGAACCCCGGCGAGGGGAGUGAAAUAGAACCUGAAACCGUGUACGUACAAGCAGUGGGAGCACCUUCGUGGUGUGACUGCGUACCUUUUGUAUAAUGGGUCAGCGACUUAUAUUUUGUAGCAAGGUUAACCGAAUAGGGGAGCCGUAGGGAAACCGAGUCUUAACUGGGCGUCUAGUUGCAAGGUAUAGACCCGAAACCCGGUGAUCUAGCCAUGGGCAGGUUGAAGGUUGGGUAACACUAACUGGAGGACCGAACCGACUAAUGUUGAAAAAUUAGCGGAUGACUUGUGGCUGGGGGUGAAAGGCCAAUCAAACCGGGAGAUAGCUGGUUCUCCCCGAAAGCUAUUUAGGUAGCGCCUCGUGAACUCAUCUUCGGGGGUAGAGCACUGUUUCGGCUAGGGGGCCAUCCCGGCUUACCAAACCGAUGCAAACUCCGAAUACCGAAGAAUGUUAUCACGGGAGACACACGGCGGGUGCUAACGUCCGUCGUGAAGAGGGAAACAACCCAGACCGCCAGCUAAGGUCCCAAAGUCAUGGUUAAGUGGGAAACGAUGUGGGAAGGCACAGACAGCCAGGAUGUUGGCUUAGAAGCAGCCAUCAUUUAAAGAAAGCGUAAUAGCUCACUGGUCGAGUCGGCCUGCGCGGAAGAUAUAACGGGGCUAAACCAUGCACCGAAGCUGCGGCAGCGACGUUUAGGCGUUGUUGGGUAGGGGAGCGUUCUGUAAGCCGUUGAAGGUGACCUGUGAGGGUUGCUGGAGGUAUCAGAAGUGCGAAUGCUGACAUAAGUAACGAUAAUGCGGGUGAAAAACCCGCACGCCGGAAGACCAAGGGUUCCUGUCCAACGUUAAUCGGGGCAGGGUGAGUCGACCCCUAAGGCGAGGCUGAAAAGCGUAGUCGAUGGGAAACAGGUUAAUAUUCCUGUACUUGGUGUUACUGCGAAGGGGGGACGGAGAAGGCUAGGCUGGCCGGGCGACGGUUGUCCCGGUUUAAGCGUGUAGGGGGAGUGACCAGGUAAAUCCGGUUGCUUAUCAACCCUGAGGCGUGAUGACGAUGCACCACGGUGCAGAAGCAGUUGAUGCCAUGCUUCCAGGAAAAGCCUCUAAGCAUCAGGUAACAUUAAAUCGUACCCCAAACCGACACAGGUGGUCAGGUAGAGAAUACUCAGGCGCUUGAGAGAACUCGGGUGAAGGAACUAGGCAAAAUGGUGCCGUAACUUCGGGAGAAGGCACGCUGGCGUUAGGUGAAAGGACUAGCUCCUGGAGCUGAAGCCAGUCGCAGAUACCAGCUGGCUGCAACUGUUUAAUAAAAACACAGCACUGUGCAAACACGAAAGUGGACGUAUACAGUGUGACGCCUGCCCGGUGCUGGAAGGUUAAUUGAUGGGGUCAGCCGCAAGGCGAAGCUCUUGAUCGAAGCCCCAGUAAACGGCGGCCGUAACUAUAACGGUCCUAAGGUAGCGAAAUUCCUUGUCGGGUAAGUUCCGACCUGCACGAAUGGCGUAAUGAUGGCCAGGCUGUCUCCACCCGAGACUCAGUGAAAUUGAACUCGCUGUGAAGAUGCAGUGUACCCGCGGCAAGACGGAAAGACCCCGUGAACCUUUACUAUAGCUUGACACUGAACAUUGAGCCUUGAUGUGUAGGAUAGGUGGGAGGCCUUGAAGUGUGGACGCCAGUCUGCAUGGAGCCAACCUUGAAAUACCACCCUUUAAUGUUUGAUGUUCUAACUCGGCCCCAUGAUCUGGGGUGAGGACAGUGUCUGGUGGGUAGUUUGACUGGGGCGGUCUCCUCCCAAAGAGUAACGGAGGAGCACGAAGGUUAGCUAAUCACGGUCGGACAUCGUGAGGUUAGUGCAAAGGCAUAAGCUAGCUUGACUGCGAGAGUGACGGCUCGAGCAGGUACGAAAGUAGGUCUUAGUGAUCCGGUGGUUCUGAAUGGAAGGGCCAUCGCUCAACGGAUAAAAGGUACUCCGGGGAUAACAGGCUGAUACCGCCCAAGAGUUCAUAUCGACGGCGGUGUUUGGCACCUCGAUGUCGGCUCAUCACAUCCUGGGGCUGAAGUAGGUCCCAAGGGUAUGGCUGUUCGCCAUUUAAAGUGGUACGCGAGCUGGGUUUAGAACGUCGUGAGACAGUUCGGUCCCUAUCUGCCGUGGGCGUUGGAAGAUUGAGAGGGGCUGCUCCUAGUACGAGAGGACCGGAGUGGACGAAUCACUGGUGUUCGGGUUGUCAUGCCAAUGGCAUUGCCCGGUAGCUAAAUUCGGAAGAGAUAACCGCUGAAAGCAUCUAAGCGGGAAACUUGCCUCGAGAUGAGUCUUCCCUGGGGCUUAAAGCCCCCUGAAGGAACGUUAAAGACUAUGACGUUGAUAGGCUGGGUGUGUAAGUGCAGCGAUGUAUUGAGCUAACCAGUACUAAUGAUCCGUGAGGCUUAACCUU